GGGUGCGUUUUUUCAAGGCGCAGGUGGACCUGUUCGCGAACAGGCAGAACACCUGCUGCCCGCUCUGGUUCUCGCUAGGGGGCGAUGAUCCCCCACUAGGCAUAGACGCGCUGGGCCACCAGUGGCCAGCUCUACCCCUAUAUGCUUUUCCCCCGAUCCCGCUCUUCCAGCAGGUGCUGUGCAGGAUUGCGGACGAGGGCAGGGAAUUGAUAUUGAUAGCCCCCCACUGGCCCAAUCAGCCGUGGGCGGCAGAUCUGGUCAAUAUGUCAGUGCAGCAGCCUUGGGAGCUGCCUCUAUGGAGAGACCUCCUAACGCAGGCGCACAGGACAGUGUGGUACCCCAAUCCGGAGUGGUGGCGUCUCAGAGCCUGGCACCUGAAAGGUGCAGGCUCAUAGCGUCAGGCUUGUCGGACGCGGUGGUGGCUACAAUACAGAGUGCCCGAGCUGUAUCAACACGGGCUCUGUAUACGCUGAAGUGGCGCAGUUUUGAGCGGUGGUGUGCUGCGCGUCAGCGCGACCCCAUUAACUGCGCGCUGGGCGUUAUUCUAGAAUUCCUACAGCAGCUGUUUGAUGAGGGGAAGGCGGCUUCUACUCUCAAAGUGUACAUGGCUGCCAUUUCAGCCUGCCACGCAGGCAUUAAUGGCAGUUCUCCUGGCAGUCACCCGCUAGCGUCACGCUUUAUGGCGGGGGUGAGACGGCUCAGGGUGCCAGAGAGACACCUCAUACCCUCUUGGGAUCUGCUGGUGGUGUUACGUGCUCUCACAGGGCCUCCGUUCGAGCCCCUGGAGACAGUGGACAUAAAGUUUGUCUCUUUAAAGACCGCGCUGCUGCUGGCGUUAACGUCAGCAAAACGCGUUGGUGACAUGCAAGCCCUGUCAGUCAGUCCAUCGUGCCUUCAGUUCUCGAUCGCUGGUGACAGAGUGGUUAUGCGACCUAAUGCUGCUUACACACCUAAAGUGGUGGUAACCCCAUUCCGCAAUCAGGUGAUUGAAUUGGCAGUUUUCUCGCCUCCUCCUUUUGCGUCAGCAGAGGAGGAACGUUUGAAUAAGCUCUGUCCAGUGCGCGCUCUCCGCUGUUACGCAGAGCGCACUAGAGCUUUCAGACAGUC
rnacentral:lncRNA from 1 species